rnacentral:lncRNA from 1 species
UGGCAAUUAGUGAUGAAUUGCUGCAACUGCCUCCUAGAAGUGGGAUCAGCAGGACCCCUGCUUUGUGCCUGAGAAACAAGGGGAUCCCUCUCAAGCCUGGAUGGCUCUAAUAGAUAAAUCCUCUUAGGAUGGUGGGUUUCUUUUGAUCUCCCCCAUUCCUUCCCCUUUGGUACUCCUCGAACAAAAGCUAAUUCAUCAAGUUUUUGGGAUGUGGUAGGCUACUGUUUAGUGCUUUAUUGAACUCUUAUUCUGAAUCAGCAUUGGGAUUAGGGCUUUAUAUAAUUUGAGUAUAAACACAGGAGAGAAGCCAUGCCCAUUUAGCAGAUAUAAAAACAGGCCCAGACAUUAAGGGUGGUGGUCAGCCAGCUGGCUGGUGGCAUUCAGCUAUUUCACAAGGUAUUUCCUGAGCCUCUGUUCAGGUAAUCGUUGCCAUGAGGAGUCGCAGUCUUGGUUUAGAGAAGGGAGAAGACAUUAAACUUGUAAGCUAAUUAAUGAAGCAAUCUCUAAGUGUUCCUGUGGAGCCAGGGCAGAACCAGGAUUCCCAGAACCUGAGACUAACAGGAGCAGAAAGCAUUGCCCUGCCACGUUGGGAAGGAUCUCAUUGAGCAAUCUCAUCUGAACAUCCCUGAGGCUCACCACAGCCUGACAGCUAACCAUGCAAAUUUGUAGCACUGUGCCCAUGUGCUAUGAGAUGCAGAGUGGAGCUGGCAUUUAAGAGGUUCCUAGGAGUUUAGAUUCCCAGCACUGGAACUGUAUCCCUCCUGCCAGGGGCAGGAGCAGCCCUGGUACCACCCUUGCCAGCCUCAGAUGGAUGAAAUGCACAGUCUUGUCAGUGAAAGUAACCCAGGAGUCUCUAGAUGGGAAGGUCCUAGGUAAUUUAACAAGAAAGACUCUGAGGUUCUGAUUAUCGCCUCUGCUCUCAGAAGUCCAGGGAGGGGACCCUAACAGUUUUCCAUAGCCACUAUAGCAGGUUUCUGCUUGAGUGCCUGUCCCCCAAACCCCGCCUCACUGAGUCAGUCAGCUGUCAGCUGUCUCAGCCAAGGUGUCCACAAAUAGCUUCUCUAUGUGAUCUCACCGGAAGCUCAUCUGAGUGACUCAUGAUUCCCUUUGAGAGAUUGCCUCCUUGGGGAGGGUGGGAAAUACUCCUACCUCUGUCUCUAUUUCAGCCAGGAGGAGCCAGGAGUGGGGGAAAUCCCUUACUAGGCCACAGGCAAUUUUAAACAAAGGAAAAAGUUGCCAAAUCUGUAGUAAGGUUUGUAAUGAAAAUAAGAAAGGACGAGCCUCUCUUGGGGCCAGAGAGAUGACUCCAUGGUUAAGAGUGCUUGCUGCUCUUGCAAGGGACCCAGGUUCAGAUCCCAGCACCUACCACACUCAAAACUGCCUAUAACUGCAGUUCCAGGGACUCUGAAAUAUCUUCAUUUCCAUGGGUACUUAUAAACACUUGGUACACAUACAUAUGCUUAGACGUAAGUAUACAAACAAAAUCUUUUCAAAUGCCAAUUGUCAAGUCAACUUUAUAACAAAGCAGUCAGUGACUGCUGAUAUGUCAGAGAAGGGCAGUCAUCCCUCUGGUCCAUCACAUUUGGGGUGACCACCCUCCCAUCACCAGCUUAUAGGAGCCUUCUGUGUCCACUCCCUGGCCAGAGGUACCAUUUUUUUUUUGAGCCAUCUUGUAUUCUAGGUACCAUGUAGGUAUUACAUACUCUGCGAGAUACCUUAGGUAUUUGGAGCCUCAUUUUGCUUGAUAAGUGUGUGUUUUCCACAGUUCUGUGUCACUCCAUAGCAUGGUUUGUAUUUU